ACAGAGUGCCUGACGUGUACAGUAGGUGUUCAAUAGUCGUGACGGACCAAGGCUAUGAGAGAGGGUGCCAUGGAGGCACAAAGGAGGGGAAGAUCAAUCUAACAAGGGAACUGAAGGGAAAGGGAAAUCUUCAUAGGUGAUGUAAGAAAAUUGCCUUAAUAGAGGAUUUGGUGCUAGGUCACUGUACUGACUAAACUUGGAAACAUGAACUUGCAAAAGCCUGCCCAAAUUCAGAAAUUCAGCAAAAAAAAAAAAAACAAACAAAAAAAACAACUAAAAUGAAAUGGAAGAGAGCAAGAGUGAAACAAGAAGACCUUCUAAGAGAGCAUUUGUAGAAAUCCUGGCUAGAGUGAUGGUAACCUAGAAUAGAGAUGGCAAUAGCAAGAUGAAGAGAAGUCAACGAAUGUGAGAUUAUAUGAAGAACAAUUUAUGAGACUUAUUGAUGGACUGGGUAUGAGGAGCUUGACAGAAGAAGGAAUCAAGGUUAACUUCAGCUAAAGCAACAUGUAGGUAUAGAUGCCACUUACUCAAACAGGGAAAGCUGGGAAAGGAACCAGUUAGGGGGCAUGAAAGAAUCCUGUUUUAUGUUCAUCUUUUAUUUCUCCUACUCAGACAUAAGCUCUUUAUGGGGAGAAUCUGUCUGCUUUAUCUUUGUAUUCCCCAAAGUUCAUAAUGUAACUAAAUUGAGUCAAUGUUAUACACACUGCCUAGUUUUGAAAAACUGACAACCCUCUUUAAGAGUGUCAGUUUUCAAAGAAAUUUUGUAUCACUUAAUAUCAUAAUAAAGGAAAAAAAAACUUUCAAGAAGUUCCCACAAAAAUUUUCCUAUGCUGCUGAUUCAGACUUUUAAGGCCCACAGAAAUUUAUGCUUUCCACUUUCUUACUAAGCCAUUUUAAUCAGUUUCAUAUGAUUCUA